CGAAGAAUGUAGGAAUUCUGACAUGGAUGUGGAUGGCGCGUGAGGUUAUUUCAAUUGAUCAAACCUAAAUCUGGAAGAAUUUGGAACAAUUGGAAGCAUCAUGUAAGAGCUAACAUAUUUGCUGCCUGAAGAUACAGCUUGGCAUCCUGUUUAGAAAGAGGAGUUUGACUCCUUUUCUGCGCAAGGCAGUUAUUUAUGGAUGUGGCCCAAUCCUUCCUUACAUGUCUUAGCUCGUUCGUAGGUUGAUUCGGCACUUUGACCUGAACAACUUCAGACCAAACGAAGUCAAAAAGGGUGGAGAUCAGUUUGGCUUGCAUUUUUGCAUUUAUGGGGAUUGGGGGGCCGUUGAUCAAUUACAAGGCUGGCAUUUUGGGGGUGGAUUAUGUUCUGGUUGAUACCAUGGUUGGGCUAUCACUUUUGGGUAAUGAUCCUUUUCCAACUGCAUUAAUGUAUGCUUCUUGCCCUUCUUCACUGAAGACACCGAUAAUUCGUCGACAAGUAGUCCCCUUAGUCAUAAUAAAGAAAGCCUUCAAAAGAAUCUAGUGGUCUCUCAUCUUUUUGUAUCUUUUGAUCAUUCAGGAUAUAUGGUCAGAAGUUGCUCAUAGUCAGUCAUUAUUGCCAAGUGCAGCUGAGGACCUUGAAUACCUCAAUCUUAGGAUUUGGAUUGUCUGAAAAAUCACGAAUUGUAUUAUUAAGAGCUUUCACUUCAAGCUUCUUUGCUCUAUUAAUUUGGUUGCCCUGGCUGUUCAAGUGAAGCCGUCCACAUUUGCUGAAUGAGAAGAACAAUCUGCUCCUUGUUUUUAGAUGAGUACUUUCACAAUGGUCCAUCACACGGCACCACAUAUUCCUUUCAAAUCUUCUAAUGAGUGGAAUGCUGCUCAAGCCCAGCUGAACGGAACCGUCCACUGUGAUUAUCCUAAAUGAUAAUAAAACUUUUAUUUUACUCAA